rnacentral:lncRNA from 1 species
CUAUUAGAUAGUAACUUUUUAUGAUUAUGUAUGUAUAAGCUUUGAAAUUCAAUUUUAUUAGGAGCAUUGCUUGGUUAUUGUAUGUGACCGUUAUAAAGGAGAAGCAGAAGCACUGUAAAGGCCCCAAAGGGUCUGUUUUGCAGUAGACUGCUAGAUCUCCUUGUUCCAGAUAUUCUGGGGUACUGUUUACUCCCUCUAGGAUGUUAUUAAGCCUCACUGGCAAGGAACAGAGUAUUCAUCUUUGAUGGUUCAUCUGCCU